AACGAACGCUGGCGGCAUGCCUAAUACAUGCAAGUCGAACGAGACCUUCGGGUGUAGUGUCUUACUGGAUCGUUUCCCGUCGGAACCUUCCCUUAGAUUCGAACUAACUCCCCGCAAGGGGUGCUAAUUCCGGAUAAUAUCUUCUGCCCAAUGAUUUAUCUCCUUUCGUUGGGCCCGCUUUGGAUUAGCUAAUUGGUAGGGUAAAAGUCUACCUAGGCGGAGAUGCAUAGCUGGUCUGAGAGGAUGAUCAGCAACACUGGGACAGUGACAAGGCCCAGACUCCUACGGAAGGAAGCAGGGGGGAAUAUGGGACAAUGGGCGAAAGAAUGAUCCAGCAAGGCCGCGUGAGUGAUGAAGGACUUAGGGUUGUAAAGCUCUGUUAACCGGGAUGAUAAUGACAGUACCGGGAGAAUAAGCUACGGCUAACUCCGUG
rnacentral:rRNA from 1 species